UACGUAGGUGGCAAGCGUUGUCCGGAUUUACUGGGCGUAAAGGGCGUGCAGGCGGUCUGUUAAGUUCAGGGUGAAAGCUCCCGGCUCAACUGGGAGAGGUCCUUGGAUACUGGCAGACUUGAGGAGGGUAGAGGAGAGUGGAAUUCCCGGUGUAGUGGUGAUAUGCGUAGAUAUCGGGAGGAACACCAGUGGCGAAGGCGGCUCCUCUGGGCCCUACCUGACGCUGAGACGGCGGAAAGUGUGGGGGAGCGAACCGG
rnacentral:rRNA from 1 species